AGGACGAACGCUGGCGGCGUGCUUAACACAUGCAAGUCGAGCGGUAAGGCCCUUUCGGGGGUACACGAGCGGCGAACGGGUGGGUAACACGUGAGCAAUCUGCCCUUCACUUCGGGAUAAGCCUCGGAAACGGGGUCUAAUACCGGAUAUGACCGCGCUACGCAUGUGGUGUGGUGGAAAGUUCUGGCGGUGGAGGAUGAGCUCGCGGCCUAUCAGCUUGUUGGUGGGUAAUGGCCUACCAAGGCUUCGACGGGUAGCCGGCCUGAGAGGGUGACCGGCCACACUGGGACUGAGACACGGCCCAGACCUCCUACGGGAGGCAGCAGUGGGAAUAGUUGGACAAUGGGCGAAAGCCUGAUCCAGCAACGCCGCGUGAGGAUGACGGCCUUCGGGUUGUAAACCGUCUUUCAGCGACCGACGAAGCGAGAGUCGACGGUAGGCGCAGAAGAAG
rnacentral:rRNA from 1 species